AACAGCUGGCAGGAAAUACUAGUCACACGACUUUACUGAGUUGUUUAUUUAACUUUUCUGACCAUAGUGGCAUAAAGUGAAAUAAAAAAGUAAACAUAAAGGUUGCGGACACUCGUGUUAUUGGAUAGUCUUAUCAAAGUUGUCCAAUGGAGGCGCGAGUUCAUCCGUCAAAUCCUAAUUAAUUUAAACGACUCGAGCUUCGUGACAGGUAAGCGCUUGAGUCAGACCACUAAACUGAAGAAAGAAAGAGAAGACCUCAAACCUGCAGAUGGCACACAACUCACAUUAUCUCCGCAUCUAUCCAGGAGUGUUUGUAGGCAGCUGCUCUGCAUAUGAAUUGUGUCUUUAUGUCACAGUAUGAACUCAGACUCAGAAAUGUAGGCCAUGCUUUAGAUGAUUCAUCCAAGUACUCUCAGCGUCGUUCUGCCCACAGGAUCUCUCGAUUCGGCAGUAAAGCCUCAUAAAUAUAGCACUCAGAACGUCAUCCAUGACCUGAAGUUGAAGAAAGAGCGAGCUGGAUCUGCACUGAGGUUUAGCUGACUGUGAAUGUGGGGGUUUGAGGAUGACGUAGGCGACGUGAAAAUAUUCAGGAUGUGGUGUAAGGUGAAGCAGAGGAUGCAUGCGGCAGACAGGAAAACAGAAUGGGGACUUAAAUGGGUAGAGGAAGACAAAGAUACCCACUAUGCUGCAGAAUCAUUGAGCUGGUACUCUCUGGA